rnacentral:rRNA from 1 species
AGAGUUUGAUUCUGGCUCAGGAUGAACGCUGGCGGCGCGCUUAACACAUGCAAGUCGAACGAUUAAAGCACCUUCGGGUGUGUAUAAAGUGGCGAACGGCUGAGUAACACGUGGGCAACCUGCCCUCUCAUCGGGAUAGCCUCGGGAAACCGUGGAUAAUACCGAAUACUCCGAUUAUCUCGCAUGGGAUUUUCGGGAAAGCUCCGGCGGAGAGGGAUGGGCCCGCGGCCUGUUGGCUUGUUGGUGGGGUAACGGCCUACCAAGGCUAUUAUGGGUAGCCGGGUUGAGAGACCGACCGGCCAGAUUGGGACUGAGACACGGCCCAGACUCCUACGGGAGGCAGCAGUGGGGAAUCUUGCACAAUGGGCGCAAGCCUGAUGCAGCCGACGCCGCGUGCGGGAUGAAGGCCUCCGGGUUGUAAACCGCUUUCAGCAGGGACGAGGCCGCAAGGUGACGGUACCUGCAGAAGAAGCCCCGGCUAACUACGUGCCAGCCGCUGC